GACGAACGCUGGCGGCGUGCCUAAUACAUGCAAGUAGAACGCACAGGAUGCACCGUAGUUUACUACACCGUAUUCUGUGAGUUGCGAACGGGUGAGUAACGCGUAGGUAACCUGCCUGGUAGCGGGGGAUAACUAUUGGAAACGAUAGCUAAUACCGCAUAAGAACAUUUACUGCAUGGUAGAUGUUUAAAAGGUGCAAGAGCAUCACUACCAGAUGGACCUGCGUUGUAUUAGCUAGUUGGUGAGGUAACGGCUCACCAAGGCAACGAUACAUAGCCGACCUGAGAGGGUGAUCGGCCACACUGGGACUGAGACACGGCCCAGACUCCUACGGGAGGCAGCAGUAGGGAAUCUUCGGCAAUGGGGGGAACCCUGACCGAGCAACGCCGCGUGAGUGAAGAAGGUUUUCGGAUCGUAAAGCUCUGUUGUUAAGGAAGAACGUGUGUGAGAGUGGAAAGUUCACACAGUGACGGUACUUAACCAGAAA
rnacentral:rRNA from 1 species